rnacentral:rRNA from 1 species
CUUUCCCUACGGGGCGCAGCAGUAGGGAAUCUUCGGCAAUGGACGAAAGUCUGACCGAGCAACGCCGCGUGAGUGAAGAAGGUUUUCGGAUCGUAAAACUCUGUUGGUAGAGAAGGACGUUGGUGAGAGUGGAAAGCUCAUCAAGUGACGGUAACUACCUAGAAAGGGACGGCUAACUACGUGCCAGCAGCCGCGGUAAUACGUAGGUCCCGAGCGUUGUCCGGAUUUAUUGGGCGUAAAGCGAGCGCAGGUGGUUUAUUAAGUCUGGUGUAAGAGGCAGUGGCUCAACCAUUGUACGCAUUGGA